rnacentral:rRNA from 1 species
AUUGAACGCUGGCGGCAGGCCUAACACAUGCAAGUCGAGCGGAUGAAGGGAGCUUGCUCCUGGAUUCAGCGGCGGACGGGUGAGUAAUGCCUAGGAAUCUGCCUGGUAGUGGGGGAUAACGUCCGGAAACGGGCGCUAAUACCGCAUACGUCCUGAGGGAGAAAGUGGGGGAUCUUCGGACCUCACGCUAUCAGAUGAGCCUAGGUCGGAUUAGCUAGUUGGUGGGGUAAAGGCCUACCAAGGCGACGAUCCGUAACUGGUCUGAGAGGAUGAUCAGUCACACUGGAACUGAGACACGGUCCAGACUCCUACGGGAGGCAGCAGUGGGGAGUAUUGGACAAUGGGCGAAAGCCUGAUCCAGCCAUGCCGCGUGUGUGAAGAAGGUCUUCGGAUUGUAAAGCACUUUGAGUUGGGAGGAAGGGCAGUAAGUUAAUACCUUGCUGUUUUGACGUUACCAACAGAAUAAGCACCGGCUAACUUCGUG